UGGGGAAUAUUGCACAAUGGGCGCAAGCCUGAUGCAGCAACGCCGCGUGAACGAUGAAGGUCUUCGGAUCGUAAAGUUCUGUUGCAGGGGAAGAUAAUGACGGUACCCUGCGAGGAAGCCCCGGCUAACUACGUGCCAGCAGCCGCGGUAAUACGUAGGGGGCUAGCGUUAUCCGGAUUUACUGGGCGUAAAGGGUGCGUAGGUGGUCUUUCAAGUCGGUGGUUAAAGGCUACGGCUCAACCGUAGUUAGCCUCCGAAACUGGAAGACUUGAGUGCAGGAGAGGAAAGUGGAAUUCCCAGUGUAGCGGUGAAAUGCGUAGAUAUUGGGAGGAACACCAGUAGCGAAGGCGGCUUUCUGGACUGCAACUGACACUGAGGCACGAAAGCGUGGGUAGCAAACAGG
rnacentral:rRNA from 1 species